rnacentral:rRNA from 1 species
AUAAGAGGUCCAGCCUGCCCAGUGAAAUUAUUCAACGGCCGCGGUAUCCUAACCGUGCGAAGGUAGCGUAAUCACUUGUUCUUUAAAUGAGGACUAGUAUGAAUGGCAUCACGAGGGUUUUACUGUCUCCUUUUUUAAAUCAGUGAAACUAAUCUCCCCGUGAAGAAGCGGGGAUUUUGUUAUAAGACGAGAAGACCCUAUGGAGCUUAAAACAAACAACAUUUGCUGCACAUAAUACUUUUAUCUUCAAGAAGUAUAGCAUUAUGAUAUUUAGUUUUUGAUUGGGGUGAUCACGGAGCAAAAUAAAACCUCCACGCCGAAAGGGUUUAUACCCUGAGCAAAAAGCUACAGCUUUAAGCACUAAAAAAUUAACGUAUUUGACCCAAUAUUUUGAUCAACGAACCAAGUUACCCUAGGGAUAACAGCGCAAUCCACUUCAAGAGCUCUUAUCGACAAGUGGGUUUACGACCUCGAUGUUGGAUCAGGGUGUCCUAGUGGUGCAGCCGCUACUAAUGGUUCGUUUGUUCAACGAUUAAACCCUACGUGA